rnacentral:rRNA from 1 species
GACGAACGCUGGCGGCGUGCCUAACACAUGCAAGUCGAACGGAGCUCCUUCGGGGGCUUAGUGGCGAACGGGUGAGUAACGCGUGAGAAACCUGCCUUUCAGUGUGGGAUAGCGGUUGGAAACGACCGGUAAUACCGCAUAAUGUAUUUUAGGGGCAUCCCUUUAAUACCAAAGAUUUAUUGCUGAAAGAUGGUCUCGCGUCUGAUUAGCUAGAUGGCGGGGUAACGGCCCACCAUGGCGACGAUCAGUAGCCGGUCUGAGAGGAUGAACGGCCACAUUGGGACUGAGAUACGGCCCAGACUCCUACGGGAGGCAGCAGUGGGGAAUAUUGGGCAAUGGGGGAAACCCUGACCCAGCAACGCCGCGUGAAGGAAGAAGGCCUUCGGGUUGUAAAC